CAGUAGCCACGGUAAUACGUAGGGUGCAAGCGUUAAUCGGAAUUAUUGGGCGUAAAGAGCUUGUAGGCGGUCUGUCGCGUCUGCUGUGAAAGCCCGAGGCUCAACCUCGGGCCUGCAGUGGGUACGGGCAGACUAGAGUGCGGUAGGGGAGAACGGAACUCCUGGUGUAGCGGUGGAAUGCGCAGAUAUCAGGAAGAACACCGAUGGCGAAGGCAGUUCUCUGGGCCGUAACUGACGCUGAGAAGCGAAAGCGUGGGGAGCGAACAGGAUUAGAUACCCCGGUAGUCCCUGUCUCUUAUAC
rnacentral:rRNA from 1 species